AGAGUUUGAUCAUGGCUCAGAAUCAACGCUGGCGGCGCGCCUAACACAUGCAAGUCGCACGAGAAAGCGGGAGCAAUCUCGCAAGUACAGUGGCGUACGGGUGAGUAACACGUGGAUCAUCUGCCCUGGAGUGGGGAAUAACGCUGGGAAACCGGCGCUAAUACCGCAUAUUCCCGAGAGGGGAAAGCAGCAAUGCGCUCGAGGAGGAGUCCGCGCCGAUUAGCUAGUUGGCAGGGUAAAAGCCUACCAAGGCUAUGAUCGGUAGCCGGCCUGAGAGGGCACACGGCCACACUGGCACUGAAACACGGGCCAGACUCCUACGGGAGGCAGCGGUGGGGAAUCUUGCACAAUGGGGGAAACCCUGAUGCAGCGACGCCGCGUGAGCGAUGAAGCCCUUCGGGGUGUAAAGCUCUUUCGGCAGGGAAGAUUAUGACGGUACCUGCAGAAGCAGCUGCGGCUAACUACGUGCCAGCAGCCGCGGUAAUACGUAGGCAGCAAGCGUUGUUCGGAGUUACUGGGCGUAAAGGGUGUGUAGGCGGCCUGUUAAGUUCCGUGUGAAAUCUCCCGGCUCAACCGGGAGGGUGCGCGGAAUACUGACGGGCUAGAGUGCGGGAUGGGAGAGUAGAAUUCCUGGUGUAGCGGUGAAAUGCGUAGAUAUCAGGAGGAAUACCGGUGGUGUAGACGGCUCUCUGGACCGCAACUGACGCUGAGACACGAAAGCGUGGGUAGCAAACAGGAUUAGAUACCCUAGUAGUCC
rnacentral:rRNA from 1 species